rnacentral:rRNA from 1 species
GACUGACCGAUAGUGAACCAGUACCGUGAGGGAAAGGCGAAAAGAACCCCGGCGAGGGGAGUGAAAAAGAACCUGAAACCGUGUACGUACAAGCAGUGGGAGCACAGGUUUACCUGUGUGACUGCGUACCUUUUGUAUAAUGGGUCAGCGACUUAUAUUCUGUAGCAAGGUUAACCGUAUAGGGGAGCCGGAGGGAAACCGAGUCUUAACCGGGCGUUAAGUUGCAGGGUAUAGACCCGAAACCCGGUGAUCUAGCCAUGGGCAGGUUGAAGGUUGGGUAACACUAACUGGAGGACCGAACCGACUAAUGUUGAAAAAUUAGCGGAUGACCUGUGGCUGGGGGUGAAAGGCCAAUCAAACCGGGAGAUAGCUGGUUCUCCCCGAAAGCUAUUUAGGUAGCGCCUCGUGAAUUCAUCUCCGGGGGUAGAGCACUGUUUCGGCUAGGGGGCCAUCCCGGCUUACCAACCCGAUGCAAACUGCGAAUACCGGAGAAUGUUAUCACGGGAGACACACGGCGGGUGCUAACGUCCGUCGUGAAGAGGGAAACAACCCAGACCGCCAGCUAAGGUCCCAAAGUCAUGGUUAAGUGGGAAACGAUGUGGGAAGGCCCAGACAGCCAGGAUGUUGGCUUAGAAGCAGCCAUCAUUUAAAGAAAGCGUAAUAGCUCACUGGUCGAGUCGGCCUGCGCGGAAGAUGUAACGGGGCUAAACCAUGCACCGAAGCUGCGGCAGCGACACUGUGUGUUGUUGGGUAGGGGAGCGUUCUGUAAGCCUGUGAAGGUGUGUCGUGAGGCAUGCUGGAGGUAUCAGAAGUGCGAAUGCUGACAUAAGUAACGAUAAAGCGGGUGAAAAGCCCGCUCGCCGGAAGACCAAGGGUUCCUGUCCAACGUUAAUCGGGGCAGGGUGAGUCGACCCCUAAGGCGAGGCCGAAAGGCGUAGUCGAUGGGAAACGGGUUAAUAUUCCCGUACUUGGUGUUACUGCGAAGGGGGGACGGAGAAGGCUAUGUUGGCCGGGCGACGGUUGUCCCGGUUUAAGCGUGUAGGUGUGUGUUCCAGGUAAAUCCGGUUCACUUUAACACUGAGGCGUGACGACGAGGCACUACGGUGCUGAAGCAACAAAUGCCCUGCUUCCAGGAAAAGCCUCUAAGCAUCAGGUAACAUCAAAUCGUACCCCAAACCGACACAGGUGGUCAGGUAGAGAAUACCAAGGCGCUUGAGAGAACUCGGGUGAAGGAACUAGGCAAAAUGGUGCCGUAACUUCGGGAGAAGGCACGCUGACACGUAGGUGAAGUGAUUUACUCAUGGAGCUGAAGUCAGUCGAAGAUACCAGCUGGCUGCAACUGUUUAUUAAAAACACAGCACUGUGCAAACACGAAAGUGGACGUAUACGGUGUGACGCCUGCCCGGUGCCGGAAGGUUAAUUGAUGGGGUCAGCGCAAGCGAAGCUCCUGAUCGAAGCCCCGGUAAACGGCGGCCGUAACUAUAACGGUCCUAAGGUAGCGAAAUUCCUUGUCGGGUAAGUUCCGACCUGCACGAAUGGCGUAAUGAUGGCCAGGCUGUCUCCACCCGAGACUCAGUGAAAUUGAACUCGCUGUGAAGAUGCAGUGUACCCGCGGCAAGACGGAAAGACCCCGUGAACCUUUACUAUAGCUUGACACUGAACAUUGAGCCUUGAUGUGUAGGAUAGGUGGGAGGCUUUGAAGCGUGGACGCCAGUCUGCGUGGAGCCGACCUUGAAAUACCACCCUUUAAU